rnacentral:lncRNA from 1 species
UGUGCCAAACACCCCUGGGCCGGCCCUGCCUCCUAGUUAUCGCCUCCACUCCCAGGCUCCAUUUCUGGGGAGGACCCAAGAGAAGUUUAACCCCAAUUUCACAGGAGAGACCAACACUCAGAGAAAGGGUGGGACCUACCCAAGACCAAACAGCUCAAACCCUUAAUUAACUCUUGCCUCGCGAGUUCUGGCCUUCUCAGCUGUUUCCAAGGGCAGAGCAAAAUGCGGUAUGCCGCCAGGCACGCCCCCACAUCUGGGGCCUCACUCUGCCCUAACGGCCUGCCAUGUGACUGCCACGUGCUGCUCCUGCGCUCCAUUCUGGUGUCCUCUGAGACAGGCCUCCCCCGACCUCCCCUUACAAAGCCCCUCCCAUCACUCCCGGCAUCCAGCCUCGCUUGUUCUUCACUGCACUUACUGGAACCAGACAUCGUGUUAUAUUGCCCAUCUGUGUUUCUUGUCUCCCCACUAGGACGUGAGCCUUGAGGGGGGUCUUUUCCUGCUCAUUCUUGUAUUUCCUGCCUUAGAACAGGACCCAGCCAGUGGGGGUGGCCCAGCAACUGCUGGUGGGCUUUCUAAAGCACCUAUCUAAGCCACAAGCCUGCCAAGGCUCCCCCACUGCUGGAUAAAGCCCAAACAGCCACUCCUGUCCUCCAGGACCUGCCCUAACCUUUCUUCUUCUGGCUCAUCUUCUGCCAUUUCCUCCCCUACACUCCUUAAACUCUCCCCAGGCCUCUGCCUGUGCUGCUCCUCGGCCCGGGAUGCCAUUAUCCCUUCUCCACCAGGCUCAUCUCCAAGAGUCUUCCCUCCUGCCCACAGACAGCUCACCCUCACCGCACCACCAGGGUUAGGAU